AGGGGCUAGCAGGGAGGGGCGUGUGUGGUGGUUUGAAUAUGCUUGGUCCCUGGGAAGUAGCGCCAUUGGGUGUGGCCUUGUUGGAGGAAGUACGUCACUGUGGGGUGGGCUUUGAGGUCCUAUGCUCUGGUACCACCCGGUACAGAGGAGGCCCUCCUUCCUGCUGGCUGCCUCUAGAUGGCAGUCUCUUCCUUGCUGCCUUUAGACCGCUCAGCUCCUUUUCCAGCGCCAAGUCUGUCCGGAUGCUGCCAUGCUUCUCACUGUGACGAUAAUGGACUGAACUUCUGAACCUGUCCAGAGGAGAGCACCCCACAGUGCUCCUUCAAGGCCCUAAAUUGUGGAAGAGCGUGUCUUCAGCUCUGAAAAGCCGAUUUGUCAGUAUAAAUAUCAUGGCUGGGAUCUUGAAGAUGGAAGAGCCUUCAGUUCAAGAAAAAGGUUUCUGAUUCACAGGGAUUUCCGCACCCCCUCAGGGGGUGAGAGGGAGCUGAGGAGGAGAGCAGUAUUCUACACAAUCUAGCCAACCACCAGAGAGUCAUAACACGAAUACCAAAUAAAGCUAAAGCUAUAAUCCA